rnacentral:rRNA from 1 species
GAUGAACGCUGGCGGUAUGCCUAACACAUGCAAGUCGUACGAGAGUUUUUAACUCUAGUGGCGGACGGGUGAGUAACACGUGAGAAUUUGCCUUUAGGAGGGGGACAACAAUUGGAAACGAAUGCUAAUACCCCAUAUGCUUUCGAGUGAAAUGGGUUUAUCCGCCUAGAGAGAAGCUCGCGGCUGAUUAGCUUGUUGGUAAGGUAAGAGCUUACCAAGGCGACGAUCAGUAUCUGGUUUGAGAGGACGAUCAGACACACUGGAACUGAGACACGGUCCAGACUCCUACGGGAGGCAGCAGUGGGGAAUUUUCCGCAAUGGGCGAAAGCCUGACGGAGCAAUACCGCGUGAGGGAAGAAUGCCUAUGGGUUGUAAACCUCUUUUUUCAGGGAGGAAUAAAAUGACGUGUACCUGAAGAAUAAGCAUCGGCUAACUCCGUG